UCCCAAACUGGGAUAGAUACCCCACUAUGCUUAGCCCUAAACUAAAAUAGCUUACCACAACAAAGCUAUUCGCCAGAGUACUACUAGCAACAGCCUAAAACUCAAAGGACUUGGCGGUGCUUUACAUCCCUCUAGAGGAGCCUGUUCCAUAAUCGAUAAACC
rnacentral:rRNA from 1 species